rnacentral:rRNA from 1 species
UACAGAGGUCUCAAGCGUUGUUCGGAUUCAUUGGGCGUAAAGGGCUCGUAGGUGGCCAGCUAAGUCAGACGUGAAAUCCCUCAGCUUAACUGGGGAACUGCGUCUGAUACUGGAUGGCUUGAGUUUGGGAGAGGGAUGCGGAAUUCCAGGUGUAGCGGUGAAAUGCGUAGAUAUCUGGAGGAACACCGGUGGCGAAGG